rnacentral:lncRNA from 1 species
UUAAAAAAAUGCUUUUUAAUUUGUAACCGAAAGGAUCAUUAAGUUGAUGUAAUUUUUCUUUUACUGGAGUAUUCAAAACAAUUGUAGGCCAUAUGCCUUAAGCAACAUGAUUACUGAAUAAAAGUUGAGAUGGACGGCAAUUGUAAUUUAUGUGAAAUUUAUACUUGAGUUUUAAGUUCUUUAAACUUUCAUAAAAUUAUAAACUAAUAAUAAUUCCCCAAAUUGGAAGUCAGAUAACUUAUUCUAAUACAAUUCAAAAUUAAAGUACAAUUGCUUAUACAACAAUGAAUAAGGACAAGUUUCCAAGUCAGAUGUCAAACUGAAAAUUCAAAUACAAACAGAGGAAAUGUAAACAGUUAUAAAAUAUCAACAGUUAUAAAUGUUACUUACUUACAGAAAGGCUAUUCAAAUUUU